rnacentral:rRNA from 1 species
UACGAAGGGGGAGCUAGCGCUGCUCGGAAUCACUGGGCGUAAAGGGUGCGUAGGCGGGUUUUUAAGUCAGGGGUGAAAUCCUGGAGCUCAACUCCAGAACUGCCUUUGAUACUGAAGAUCUUGAGUCCGGGAGAGGUGAGUGGAACUGCGAGUGUAGAGGUGAAAUUCGUAGAUAUUCGCAAGAACACCAGUGGCGAAGGCGGCUCACUGGCCCGGUACUGACGCUGAGGCACGAAAGCGUGGGGAGCAAACAGG